CCAGAGCUGAGCUUCCCAGAGCUCUGCCUUCAGGUGGAGGGCACACAAGAGCCCGACUGCACCAUCUCUGCCUGGUCCUGAAGGAGCAGCUGCCACCAGCACCUUCUCAGGGGCUGGGCCAAGCCGAACCGCGCAGCCGACACCCACAGUGCUGCAGGCCCUGGCCAGCUGCAGUUGGAGGCACAGUGCCAUCUAGCGGAUAAAAGAAAAAAGGCUCCAUCGCUUUUUUUUUUAAGUUACUGGAGAACCAUAGACCAAAGAAUCAGCUGUCUUUAUUUGCUACCAAAGGAGCUUGAUAACCAGAGAAGGAAAUGGAUUUCCUGAAUGUCACACAGCCAGCUGGUGGCCGCAUUGAUACUACAGAGCCUCAUCAUUUGAGCCUUGGUCCAGCAUUCUCCGCACUAUACCACAGUAAAGAAACCAGAGGAUAAAAGAGCUUCUAGUUUUGGCUGAGUGGCAUUUCAGACCUCUGCUGAGGUGGAGGUGAACACAAGCGGGGGCCAGCGUCUGAAGAGAUGGUGUCAGUUAUUCACUAUCGAAUGCCUUGGCUGGACUCUCUCAGUCAUGGGUGCAAGGCCAGAGCAAAUUCAGUUGUCCACCCUGCUCUCCCUCCCAGCAAAUCUGCCAUGAAACUCAGCACAAGAUAAGACCAGAUGUUGACUGGAAACAUAUGGCGAUGCUUUGGGAUCAAUCCUGUUUCUCAUGGAUAUCCUAAAACAGCAAAAGGCUUUCUUGGCUGUGUUCCCUUCCUUCAGAGGCUGGCCUUCCUUGACUCCCGGACCAUCAUUCCGGCAGGCAAGAUGAGCCCAUCCUGCCUUACACUGAAG
rnacentral:lncRNA from 1 species